rnacentral:rRNA from 1 species
GUGUCAGCAGCCGCGGUAAUACAGAGACUGCAAGCGUUAUUCGGAUUCACUGGGCGUAAAGGGUGCGCAGGCGGCCAAGUGUGUGAGGCGUGAAAGCCCGGGGCUUAACCCCGGAAUUGCACCUCAAACUACAUGGCUAGAGCAUUGGAGAGGGUAGCAGAAUUCAUGGUGUAGCAGUGAAAUGCGUAGAUAUCAUGAGGAAUACCAGAGGCGAAGGCGGCUACCUGGACAAUUGCUGACGCUCAGGCACGAAAGCGUGGGGAGCAAAAGGGAUUAGAAACCCCCGUAGUCC